rnacentral:lncRNA from 13 species
GCCUUCUCUCCUUUUCCUGCAGUUUUCAGCUCAGCGGGUGACAAGUGAGUCUGGGUUUGUUUACAGUGACUCUAGGGCUGUUCCAUUCAUUGAUUUGGUUCAAGUGCUGUGUCUAAAUCAUGCUACUCUGAACAUGGUCAUCCCACAGCCCACGUGAUUAGGCAUUGCUCUCCCACUGUGAGACACACUGGCAUGGGACUCCUGCAGUGCAGAAUUCUGGAAUGUCGGCGAACAUCAGGACAUGAACUCAGUGACCCAGACAACUGAAGCAGAGGGGAUGAAGCUCACUGGGUCCUCAACAGUUUCUACUUUACCACAAUCCAUGCGGGUGCAUCAUAAAGAGGGAAGACUGAUGACCAAGCGGUUCUGGACAAAUCAAGCUUAUCUUUUCCUAGCCUCUGUUCCUGGGGAGGAAAACGUCCUGCAAGAAUCAUCAAGCUACACCACCACAAACAACCCAGUAAAUCAGGAGGUACCUGGUGCCAGGUUCAGCACCAGCUCAGAGACUUAUUUGGGACCUUCUGGAGUCACCUUCAUGGGCUACCAGCCCCAACCCCAGAGACUGACUCAACCAGCCCAGAUGCUUUCCAGACACAAACCCUAACUUUCUUCUGUGAUUUAAGAAUGGCUGGGGGAAAAAAAUCAACCCAUAUAAAAAUAUUUUAUUGUGGAAAACAAGAGUUCCCUGCCCUGGCCACCCCACUCCAGGCUAGCUUCACAGAAAUCACUGUUGUAAGUGAAAUCUUGUAACUAUUUCUGCUUUUAGUUCUAAUGGCAAUCCACCCCAGGUUGCUAAGUAAUGUAUGUAUACCGCUUCAAAAAUACUCAUUUUUGGCAUUAUCGGUAGAGUUCUGCCAUGAGAAGUGAAGGUUGGUUUCCUCCUCCCUCCUGCUAAUACAGCACUGAGGCUGUCACUGUUUUGGUCUCUUAGCGGGCUGUUUUAUCAGUUUAAAUAAUAAGCCUUUAUUUGAAGUUUCUUAAACAGUGUCUCUUAGACCCUCAGGUUGAAAGAGAAUAAUGAUCGUGCCCCUGGCUCCCCACUGUCUUCACCCCAGGGUGCAGGCUGACUGGGGCCCCAGGUCAGCACUCCCUGGUCCCCUCUGUAGAAACCAGACAUUUCCCCUCACCUAAAGAAGCCAAUUUAGUGCCAAUCACAUACUGAACUACUGAUCUUCAGAGCCCCUGGACUUUGGCGUUUGGAAAGACCUGGAAUAUGCCUCUUUAGCAGAUGACUGUGAUACAGGUGGUCUGAGAAUGUGCUGUGAACCCUAUAAAACAGGGGACAUGAGAUGGUGGGUCUGGUCUGUGCAGUGGCAGCGUGAACACAGAAAGCUGAAAUGGAGGAACAGUUUUGCAGCCAAGAGACAUUACAGCUCAAAGGUAUCAGCGGAGGCUAGAAUUCAUCCCUUCAACAAAUAUUGACUGAGCAAGCUCUUACUGUGUGUAAUGCCUUUUUUAGUAUAGUUUUUGCACCCUCCCAGCCCUUUUCAGGUGCUUUGACAGAUUUCUAACUCCAGGGGUAUUUAUUCAGUGUAUUGUUUCAAGAAAAGGAAGGUCUUUGCAAACAGGUGCAACGUGCCGCAGCCUGCCCAGGCAGAGGCUUG